rnacentral:rRNA from 1 species
AGUGAACGCUGGCGGUAGGCCUAACACAUGCAAGUCGAACGGCAGCACAGAGGAGCUUGCUCCUUGGGUGGCGAGUGGCGGACGGGUGAGGAAUACAUCGGAAUCUACUCUGUCGUGGGGGAUAACGUAGGGAAACUUACGCUAAUACCGCAUACGACCUACGGGUGAAAGCAGGGGACCUUCGGGCCUUGCGCGAUUGAAUGAGCCGAUGUCGGAUUAGCUAGUUGGCGGGGUAAAGGCCCACCAAGGCGACGAUCCGUAGCUGGUCUGAGAGGAUGAUCAGCCACACUGGAACUGAGACACGGUCCAGACUCCUAUGGGAGGCAGCAGUGGGGAAUAUUGGACAAUGGGAGCAAGCAUGAUCCAGCCAUACCGCGUGGGUGAAGAAGGCCUUCGGGUUGUAAAGCCCUUUUGUUGGGAAAGAAAUCCAGCCGGCUAAUACCUGGUUGUGAUGACGGUACCCAAAGAAUAAGCACCGGCUAACUUCGUGCCAGCCGCCGCCGUAAUAC